rnacentral:lncRNA from 7 species
CCCGCCACAAAGGAACUCGCCACCAUCACCGUCGGGUGGGGGAGAAACUCCGCCGCCACGGUCGGAAUCAGGUUUCGCUGAGAGAUUGGUGGCGGUGUGUGGGUGAUUGCGUGCGCAAUGGGUGCUCGGUUAUGACCGAGGGGUCAUUGAGCUCGUACAUCGGCGGGGGAACAACGAAUUGCUCGCCGACGUCCUUCUCCCACGGGGAUCUGCGCUCUCCCAUGGCCAGCCUUUCUCACCGUUGAUCGUCGGUGGUAAGCAUCUCUGUAGAAUUGGACUGUGGCCCCUCUACGCGUAGGACUGUUCGGGGUUGGAGAUGAUCACCGGGGAGGGGCGUGGUUGGGCUCGUCGGCGUCGCUCCGUCGUUGGCGUAUGCGCCGUCGGGUCUAACUGGUGGGAGGAAGGGGAAAGCGCACUGGCCGUCCGUUCCAUGAUUAACGGAUGGGAUUGGAUCAGCUAGGUAAGCGAUUCGGCGAUGAAAUAUGUGGCGUUGAUCGUUGCACCAACGACCACGAUUGGAACCGCAUACCGGUUCGACCAGAUCUGAUUGGGGCCAUGUGAUCUCAGCCCUUGAUUUCUGAUUGGAUAGUUGUGGAUCACCGAUACCCCUUCAGAUGUGUCGUUUUGCAUAAUAACCCUUACGUUUAUAUCUAAUCAACCCGCGGUCCUCAUAUGUGUAAAGGAUAUCGCAAAUCAGCCCUUUUAUUUACAAAUCUGACCCCAAACUUCUACACAUUAUAACCCGCAGUCCUUUUCGAAUAAAAUAAAUUGAGAAUAUCAGAAAAAGCUUUUGGUAAUUGAUUUCAAGUCUAGAAAUAAUAUGAAAAUACCUAGAAUUUUAGAAAAUUCAUAACUCUAUCAUUUUAAUUCCGUUU